ACUUAAAUAUGAUAAUUUCUAAAUUUGUAUUUUAAAGGUAUUGAAACCUUAAUAUUUUAAUUUUGUAAUUUGCAUUAAAAAAGGGCUUUUUGCAAAUAUGACUCAAAAAUUGAAGUCAAACACAAAACUAACCCAUAUUUUUUUGGAACUUUGACUUGCCUAUUUCACCCCUAAAGUUCAGAUUAUUCACAAAAAUGCCAUCACUUUUUUUUUUUUGAAAAUGCAUAUUUUACUCUAUCACCCUCAUCUUCCUCAAGUAUUCACAAUAUUGUCAUUGCCAUUAAUACACUAACCACUAUGAACAACCAAUUUGAAGCUCUUAAUGCACCUAAAAAUCGAUUUACACUUUUUCUUUCUCAAUUCUUACGAACCAAAAACAACAUCUCUUUACUUUCUCUCCAUAUUAAUCCAAAAAACCCAAGAUUUUGAUUCUAAAAAUUUUAUGGUUCAUAGAGCCAUUGAAGCUUACGACUCUUUGUUUGAGAUUAUGGGUGCUUGGAGAAGACUUUUGUGUGCUAAACAAGUUAUCUCACUGGUUGAAACUAUGAAAUUUUUUUUUUCCAGAUUUGUUCGUCCAGACGACUUAUCCGGAAGUCGUCUGGCUGUAGACGACUUACAUGGAAGUCUUAUGGCCAAUGCAGAGGUUAAUUUUGCAAUUGACUUUUGAAUGUGUUUUUCUAGACGACUUACAUGGAAGUCGUCCAUCUUUGUUUGUUAAAAACAAAAAUCGAGACGACUUCCAUGUAAGUUGUCUAAGGUAAACGGGUUAGUUUUGCAUUUGACCGGAUUGUAUAAAAAAUUUGACUUUUCCUGGACGACUUACAUGUAAGUCGUCCAGUAGAAAUAAAAAACAAUAUUUUGUUAUACCUAGACGACUUCUAUGUAAGUCGUUUCAGGUUAGUUUUGCAAUUGAAAAAUAAAACAAUAAAAAUUAUUUUUGUUUAGACGACUUACACGGAAGUCGUCCAUCAGACGACUUCCACGAAAGUCGUCCAUGAUUUUAUUCCGAGAUUCUGGUCAAACCUUGCUUAUCUUGGACGACUUCCAUGUAAGUCGUCGGACGGACGACUUUCGUAUAAGUUUUCUAGAAAUUUUUUUUUUGUUUUAUUUUUCAAUUGCAAAACUAACCUGAGACGACUUACAUGGAAGUUGUCUAGGUAUAAUAAAAUAUUGAUUUUUUUAAUUUUCUACUGGACGACUUACAUGGAAGUCGUCCAGGAAAAGUCAAAUUUCUGACAAAAUCCGGUCAAAUGCAAAACUAACACAUUUUCCCUAGACGGCUUACAUGGAAGUCGUCUCGAUUUAUUUUAACAAACAAAGAUGGACGACUUCCAUGUAAGUCGUGUAGGUUAAAAAUCAAUUGUAAAACUAACCUAAAUGGACGGCUUCCUAGAAGUCUAUCAGACGACCUCUGUGGAAGUCGUCUGCGUCAAUGUUUAAUAAAUUUUCAUUUUUCUAAAACUAUAACGACUUUUUAAUUUUUUUUUGUUAAUUCAUGUAUAUUAGUUAAUAUUGGGGCUACUGAAUGAAAUUUAUAACUUAAUUGGUGAUCUAACCUAUACUAAAAGGGUUAUAUGAGCAUCAGAGAAGCUGUCCACGUCAGCAAUUAAAUCAGCUAAUCAGAAGACUCUAAUCUGCCAUAUCACUUUCUAUUUCAGUUCAUUUAAAAACUUCACGUACAUAAUAUUUACCCCAUUAGCAAAUCGUAUUUGGCCCACUUUGUAUUAUAAACUCUCAGGCCCAUCCUUUGGUGUAGUCUAUUCGUCGACAGCAAAGGUUAAAUGCGUGAAUUCUUCUUCAGAGAACCUUCGACGAUUCAUACCUUCAACGUUUUGUCUUUAGUAACGCUUGAUCUACCCACUCUUUCACAUUAAACCCCCUAUUUACUCAAUCAAUCAAAAGACAUGUUAUCGUAUGGGUUCCUUUCGUUUGUGAGGUUAUAUAAACCCUUAAUUCCAUUCCCUACUCCACACAAAAACUCACGAAACCUCCAAAAUUUACCUGAAAAUCUCAUCAGUCAAUGACGACCUAAUCGGCAAAAUCCACAGGGAAGGCUCGAGUUGCUCAAUCUGUAAAACCAUCUCCCCAUGGGCCCUGGCUUAGCUGAAUCGGAGCUCUGUUUCCGUUUGAUACAUUUUUUUGAUAUGAACAGAAAGCAAACAGGCAGACAAGGAUUCAACGUGGCAAGUGUGUGUAAGAGAAGAUCCGGCUCAGAAAGCCUUGCAAAGCUUCAACUAGCGGAAGAGAAGCCACUUCUAAACGGGCUGAUAUUGAAUCACAGCAACAUAAGACUUAGCUUCCAGAGGCUUGUGGCCAUGCUCAAGGUCGAAGGGAGAAGAACUGUCAUUUCAGAAUAGCCGCCGUCCUCAGUGACAUUGAAGCCUCGAGUUAGUAACCGAGGAACAACACGACAAUCUGCUGCUCCUUCGAUUCUAACAGAGAAAACAUCAUACUUUCUAGCUGAGGUGACUCAUCCAUUCUCAGCUACUUCAGAAAACGAAUUGGACUUGGAAAAAGGAGAUUACGUCGUUCUCAUGUUGUUUCUGCAUAGGUUGACAACAUUAUAGUAAUAGGCCACAUCAAAUAUGGAAGAAUUGCAGCGCUUAUGAGAACCAUCUAAAACAUCAGUCUAGUUUAGUAAAGAGAUGAGUCAUGAAUGGAAAAGCCGCCAAGUUAAGAACACAAGCAGCUUCAUCACACUUAAGUUUUGAUGAACAAUGCUUGAACUGUGAGAAAGUUUCCAAGCAUACGAUCAAUUUGUUUGUGUCUCAAAAUGUGCUAGCCUGCUGUCUAUGCUGCUUCACAAACACCAACACCAGUGCCUGAAGACACUGCUUAUUGCGCGCAUCCUAAUCAGGCAUACCCAACUACUGCAGCUACAGCACCAGUGGCUGCGCCGGUCCAGCAAGCUGCUGCUGCUGCUCCUCCUCUUACUACAACACUUACUACUGAGUCUAUAUGUGUUGCUGGUGGUUAGCUAUUUACUCUUUGGCUACUCAAGUUAAUUAUCUGAAUGUUUAUAUGUCUUUCUGUUCUCAAUCAGUGCUUUGAUUUGUGCUGGUUAUGAUACAGAUUGUAACAGACAAGUUUGAAUCGAAUUCGCCGGUUCGUGCGGUUUAACAGAUUAUCGCCGAUUAUGUCACAUAAUUUGGUUUUUGCUAAAUUUUGGGCUAAAUUUGCUAAACCUAAAGUAUAGUGUUUUUUUGUCAGCAACCUAAAAUAUAGUUUGUGUGUGCAUAUAAGUUUUUCGUCUUGCAUUUCUUGAAAACAGAGACGUUAACUUCGUCCACUUUUAAUCAAUUUCUCUAAUUAAAAUGCAUCUCUUUUAAAUUUAUAAUCUUCUCUUUGCUUUAGCAGAUUAUUAGAAACAUGAAAAAUACUUGAAACUAAGUGUUUCGUACAACAGGAUCUCUUUCACAAAAGAACAGAUUUAAAAAUAUAUAAGCGUGAAGCCAUUUCAUGCAUUUUUUACAACGUCAGAGUCUAGCUAUUUCAAUACAUGUAUGCAUAUAUUCUACCAUGGACAUGGAGGCAAAGUAGCAGGUUUACAAGGCGACGUAAGUGGAGAAUGUGUCCUUGGCGGGCUUAGGAGAGACAAACAAUUAUUUUCUUCAGAUUGGAAUAAACUAUUGGGGUCUUGGUCUCGAUUUCA